UGGAGUCGUACCGGAUUCACGUGUUCACUUCUGGGCCAGUGAGGCUCAAUCCUGCCUUCACAGGGAGGAAGAAGGAAGCUACUGUUUUGCUUUGCUGUGUCAAUGUGACUUUUAAAAGGGCAGACCCUGAUACUUUGUGAAAGUCUCUCACUCUUCUGGCAUUUGAUCUGGCAUCAGCAAUCAUCAAGUUUUCACUUGUCCUGAAUAGGACCUCCUGCAAAGUAGAAGACUCAGACACUGAUAGUCCUUCUACCCUUGUCUCCCAAAGCAGACGCUGCCAGUAGCAGACCCAGGGAAGUCAAUAGGACAAGAAUAGGAAGAUGAAAGAUCCAAUAUCCUGUAGACCCUGAGGAUGAAACUUAAAGGAUCCACUUCAGGCCAAAGGAGGAAGAUGGAGGGGAAGGAGACAUGGCUGAGACCAAAGCUGAGGCCUCUCCUUCCUUCUUGGCAGUAUCUUCUCAGGGGAAGAGAAUUUGCUCCAAAUUCUAGAAUUGUUCCCUUUAUAAUUUGCUUGAUAAUUUAUAGGCAAUCCCUGAGGCAGAACUAAGUUUCCUUGCCUUACCCAAACGGGAUUUUUAGAUGCAAAGUCAUUCCAGUUCAAAGGGCUAUUCAGCAUUAGUCUAAGCCUGUGAUCCUACCUAGUUAAGGUAUCAUGGCUAAAAUAGGAGAAGUUUGUAUGUGAUUUUGACCACAUCCUUAAAAUUGCAUUAAAUAGAAUAGUGUGUAUUUUGGACCAUGUGGUAAAAUACUAUUGAGCAAAAAGAUCUUUUGCUUGUCCAUCAAAUCACUCCAUACAUCUUACCUCAACAUGCUUUUCUGUCAUCACUCAUUUUCCUACAUAAGAGAUUACAUCAACACAUGUUUAAUUGCUCUAUUUUACUGUAGGAUGAUGAUGAUAAC